rnacentral:rRNA from 1 species
AGGACGAACGCUGGCGGCGUGCUUAACACAUGCAAGUCGAACGGAAAGGCCCUUUCGGGGGUACUCGAGUGGCGAACGGGUGAGUAACACGUGGGUGAUCUGCCCUGCACUUUGGGAUAAGCCUGGGAAACUGGGUCUAAUACCGAAUACACCUUGCUGGCUGCAUGGCCUGGUGGGGGAAAGCUUUUGCGGUGUGGGAUGGGCCCGCGGCCUAUCAGCUUGUUGGUGGGGUGAUGGCCUACCAAGGCGACGACGGGUAGCCGGCCUGAGAGGGUGUCCGGCCACACUGGGACUGAGAUACGGCCCAGACUCCUACGGGAGGCAGCAGUGGGGAAUAUUGCACAAUGGGCGCAAGCCUGAUGCAGCGACGCCGCGUGAGGGAUGACGGCCUUCGGGUUGUAAACCUCUUUCAGUAUCGACGAAGCGCAAGUGACGGUAGUACAGAAGAAGCACCGGCCAACGUACGUGCCAGCAGCCGC